UAGCAGCACAUCAUGGUUUA
rnacentral:ncRNA from 2 species